ensembl:rRNA 5S_rRNA 5S ribosomal RNA
ACUCACAUCUCAAAAUAACCAAGAACGAGCCCGAUCCUGUCUGAUCCUGGAAGUUAAGCAGGGUCGUGCCUGGUUAGUACUUGGAUGGAAGACCACCUAGGAAGACCAGGUGCUGUAGGCA